CCGGCUGCGGACGCGGACAGACGGCUGGCUUUCCCGAGAGGAAGGAAGAGGAAGAAUCAUUGAUCGGCUGCCUCCUGCAUGAGCCCUACUGGGGAUCGAGCCCCCCAUCACACCCGUUGGUUGACACACACUUCUUUUACUGAGGUCCUGUGGAGCCAUGCAUAACAGAUGCCUGAAUAGUAUGGGCAGUCCUUCCUUUGUCCAUAUCCAAACAGAACAACAGGCUGUUGGUUAACAGCCUCUGGCCAGUGCCUUUUUCUGACAAGGUCUGUAAAGGCAACCUAAGAGAGGA